UGUGUCAAUACAGGUGGGCGUCUUUCAACUUUGCAACCUUGAGUUCAGCAGCAGAAAAGUAGAUUAAAAGAAUUGGGAGAAAAUAAGCCAGUCUUUGGCUCGAAAUUGUGCAGCUUGAGCUCUUACUUUGUCCUUCACCCCGAGAAGACACGCAAAAGACAGUUAAUCACCUGAUGAAGACAGAUAGAACAUCGUGGACUUGAAUACAGCAGGCAAACGACAGGGCCACUGAUCCAUUAACACUGAUGACGACUGACGACCAGCAGCAGCAUGUAAGACUAAUGCAACAUGUACUGUGAAAAUACAGGCUGGGCAGUUGAACAGUGGGAUAAAGAAUUGUGGAAGAGCACUGGACAUUGAGUGAUAUUUUGCCAUGCUGGGACUUAAUCUGAAAGAAAAGACUGUAAAGAAACAGAGAAGAAGACAGCAGCUGAGUUGAGACUGUGUUUGCUGGAGCUUUGAAGCCCGAAUAGGACAUUGUGCAGAGAGGACCAGUGAGAGAUGAAGCUGGACGAGUUUGACUGCGAGAAUAUAGGAUAUAAUUGGAUUGAAAAUUGAAGCCUGAACUCAUGAAUUGUUUAGGGAUGUCCACUACAGCAUAACAAAGAGGCCUGGAAGAGAGUGAACUGACGGCGCGGACAAAUUACCAAGUAAGGAUUGCAGCGAGUCAAUCCAGUCAAAAGUAUAGAGAACUAUUUUCCUAAAAAGGAAAAACGAAAUAAAACAAAUGAUUGAGCUCAUUUUGCUGAUGUGGAGCAUCUGAUCACGUGCGCAGAAGGCUGCAGAUCAGCAAAAAUAUCAUGUGUGAAUGCAUGGGAGUGAAUGUGAGUGAUGGGACCAAGAGGGAAAUAAAUAAAAGGUUGACAAACAGGACAAGUGGGAGACUUAAAUCUGGGGAUGCUGAUUUUGGGAUAUUGAUGUGUGCGUUGAGAAAAUUAUUUAUUGGGGUUGGAUUAUGUUAUUACAUUAUAGGAUGCUAAAUGCUAAAAGGAAACAUUGAUGUAACUUAAGUUACCAUGAACGGAGGGGACACAUGAUUAAUAACUGUUCUGUGUAAGUUUAUUUUGGGUUAUAACACAGGUUGGAUCAUCAGUGGAGAAAGUGAGUAUAAAAGGUGAUGUUCUGGUUAACACACAGGUUUUUGUUUCUAGGACGUUUCAAGGAUGCAGGCUGUGGAUGGAGCCAAGAAAGGAUUUGACAUGAUGAUUAAUUUGAUUUCAUUCCUUAAAUAAACACAGGUUUGAAGGUCCGGAGCAUGUAGACUUAAUAUGAUAUGACUAACCUUUUUAAGGCCCUAACCUGAGUGAAGGAUUUUGAGUUUGUAACACAUGAGAUGUGUCACAAAAAGGGGGGAGUUACAGGAUUUAAGGUUUAAUUUGAAAGGGGUUUUAAGAUUACUUGAUGAUGUUUAGGUUUUUUGAUAAUUUAGGUAUGGUAAAACUGAGGCAGAAAGUGUUAUUUUCAGGUUAUUUUUGAUUUCUAGAAUAAGAGGUUAUAAUUUAGGCGUGCACAUACAGAUAUGUCAAAGGAAAAUUGUAUAUAUGUUAUCAGCUACAUGAAAUGUGUCUACGUG
ensembl:lncRNA